UACGUAGGGAACAAGCGUUGUCCGGAUUUACUGGGCGUAAAGGGCACGCAGGCGGUUUUUUAAGUCAGAUGUGAAAGGUACCGGCUCAACCGGUGACAUGCAUUUGAAACUGAAAGACUUGAGUAUUGGAGAGGCAAGUGGAAUUCCUAGUGUAGCGGUGAAAUGCGUAGAGAUUAGGAGGAACACCAGUGGCGAAGGCGGCUUGCUGGACAAAUACUGACGCUGAGGUGCGAAAGCGUGGGGAGCAAACAGGAUUAGAUACCCCGGUAGUCCCU
rnacentral:rRNA from 1 species